GAGAUUUUUAAUCAAUUGCCUUGAUCUUAAGGUAACUUAAAUUCUGUACAAAAAUAUUGUAAUUUAUUUAUCAUGUAGACGAAAGAUAUUUACAGUGUAAGUUGUUUAUAAUGUAAAUAAAGUAAGAUUUAGUAGGUGAAAUAUACAAAUAUAGUUGACAUUGAUUAAGUAUUGUAUUCCGCAUACGACAAGUGAGUAUUGUCGUUGGACUACCGGCGUUCUGCGUCGAUUCCGUGAUAACUAGGAGAAGGCACGUAACGGUCGAUAAUAACGAUGCGGUUUAAAAUGGGCCGACGUGGCAGCGGCAAGUAUUUUCGUCCACGAAAUACCAAGAAAACGAGUUCGAGAGCCCAUACCGAUCACAGGAUGUUAUCAACGUACAUACGGAUUCUCUGCUGCGGUACUUCCGCAGUACGACACGCUGCGCACGCGAAACAGUGCACGAUGCAACUGCAGACGCUCAUCGUAUGUACGAUUAAGCGACAUUUUUAGCGGGAGCGACUAUAGUCGCUCGUAGAACCUGAGUAGCAUCACAUGGAAUUUUAAUUCGUAAUCAAGAUUCUCUAAUUCCUAUUUCAAUUUUUCUUUUUCAACCGUGCUGUCUAUUCUCUUAUCACGGUAUAAAUCUUUGUUUAUGUUUAUCAUUUUUAAUUUCUUUUAAAUUAUUAAAGAAAUAUAUUUUCUUUAUAUAUUUACUACUUAUGUAUAUAUGUAUAUACUGGUUGAAAGUAACUUGAUCAGUGCAAAUUCCGCUAUUGCCGUUCUACUACUAAUAACAUACAUAUCCAAACAUUAUAAAUUUAUAUGUAUGCGUGCAUUUAUGUAUGUAAAUGAAUGAUCCGAUAAGUGCAAAUAUAAGAUAUACAUAUUAUCAAGAAACAUGUAACUCUACUGUUAUAAUAAAAUACUGUACAUAUUACAUAUUAUAUAUAGGAAAAACGUGCGCACGUGUACGGUAAUUUGGAGUAAGACAAGCAAUAUAAGCUGGUAUAGGUCAUCGGAGAUUUGGCAACAUCGCUAUGUAGCAUCGACGAUGGCAAUGGCGGCGGUAUGAUUCCGCUCCGCAAUCGCAACCGCACACCCGCCUUCUACUGGCCGCCAUGAUGCCAAGCGAAAUACGCCGUGCAACGGUUUCUCCGCAGUGACGCUCAAGCUGCCGUCAACGUAGCAACAACGUUACGCCAUUUGCGGUACCGCGUUUCCUACGAACAUGGAUUUGUAAAAACCCCUGCCACUAAAACGGUUCUUCUUCGUUUUGUUAUUUACAAAUCUAUAUAUAUAUAUAUAUACUUAUAUAUUUUUUUUUCGUCGUAUUUUAAUAACACAUCGUCGAUCGAUUCGGUUUACCUAUCCUCCCCCCCCCCUCAGUUCUUAGUUCAAUUUCUCUCGAUUUCUAUCGAUCUUCAAAUUUUUUAUUCAUAUUUAUAUUAUACGUGCGAAUUUUAAUGUAGUAAGAUCGAAUCUUUUGAAUUUGAUGAUCGCUUGGAACGAUUUACCGAGAGAGGGGAUAGAGUGACGAAGAGAGGAAGCGAGAGAGGGGAAAGAAAGAGAGAUAGAUAGAAAGAGAGAGAG
rnacentral:lncRNA from 1 species